UACAGGGGGUGGCAAACGUUGCUCGGAAUCAUUGGGCGUAAAGCGCACGUAGGCGGUUCGUUAUGUCGGAUGUGAAAGCCCUUGGCUUAACCGAGGAAGUGCAUCCGAAACUGGCGAGCUAGAGUACUAAAGAGGAUCGCGGAAUUCCCGGUGUAGAGGUGAAAUUCGUAGAUAUCGGGAGGAACACCGGUGGCGAAGGCGGCGAUCUGGGUAGAUACUGACGCUGAGGUGCGAAAGCGUGGGGAGCAAACAGG
rnacentral:rRNA from 1 species